rnacentral:rRNA from 1 species
UGGGGGAUAUUGCACAAUGGGGGAAACCCUGAUGCAGCAACGCCGCGUGAAGGAAGAAGGUCUUCGGAUUGUAAACUUCUGUCCUCAGGGAAGAUAAUGACGGUACCUGAGGAGGAAGCUCCGGCUAACUACGUGCCAGCAGCCGCGGUAAUACGUAGGGGGCAAGCGUUAUCCGGAUUUACUGGGUGUAAAGGGAGCGUAGACGGAUCUGCAAGUCUGGAGUGAAAGCCCGGGGCUCAACCCCGGGACUGCUUUGGAAACUGUGGAUCUAGAGUGCCGGAGAGGUAAGCGGAAUUCCUAGUGUAGCGGUGAAAUGCGUAGAUAUUAGGAGGAACACCAGUGGCGAAGGCGGCCCUCUGGGCCGAGACCGACGCUGAGGCGCGAAAGCGUGGGGAGCAAACAGGAUUAGAUACCC